CUACGGGUGGCACCAGUGAGGAAUAUUGCACAAUGGGGGGAACCCUGAUGCAGCAACGCCGCGUGGAGGAUGACGCAUUUCGGUGUGUAAACUCCUUUUAUAUGUCAAGAAAAUGACGGUAGCAUGUGAAUAAGCACCGGCUAACUCCGUGCCAGCAGCCGCGGUAAUACGGAGGGUGCAAGCGUUACUCGGAAUCACUGGGCGUAUAGGACGCGUAGGCGGGUUGGAAAGUCAGGUGUGAAAUCCUACAGCUUAACUGUAGAACUGCACUUGAAACUUCUAAUCUAGAGUAUGGGAGGGGGAGAUGGAAUUAGUGGUGUAGGGGUAAAAUCCGUAGAUAUCACUAGGAAUACCUAAAGCGAAGGCGAUCUCCUGGAACAUUACUGACGCUAAGGCGUGAAAGCGUGGGGAGCAAACAGGAUUAGAUACCCCUGUAGUC
rnacentral:rRNA from 1 species